CUCUGAAUAAUUGGUUUUUAGUUUGUACUUAGUUCUGUUUCAUAUAUAGUUUCCUACACGAACCUCUGAAUUUGUCAUCAAAAAUGAAAUAUGAAAUUGGAUUGAAUGCAUUAUUUAUAAACAAUGAACGCAUCAGAACAGCAUUGCUAGUAUUAUUUUUAAGUGGUGAAUCCGACAUCACAAUUGCUAUACCAAUCGCAAACAAGAUGAAACUACAAAACGACAAACCAGUAGCUAUAAUAAGACUGAUUGUAACUUUGUAGCGGUCAAAGUUACAGCAUCCACUAUUGAAUGGUUGUUCUUCUUCCGCAUUACGUUUCCUUUCUCUACAGUCUGCUUUUCUUCUUUUUUCUUUUUUAUAUUGUUUAUGUAUCACAUGCAAUAUCUUCCAAUAACGAUAAGCACAGUAUAUGAAGCAUAAAAGUCCAAACAUACCGAUCAUUCCCGAAUACAAUCCAGCGGAAAGUAUACUUCUGUACUGCUUAAGUGUUGUACAUUGCGUUCCAUUCAACAAUGUGCUGCUUUUUAUUUGCACCUGUUCAAUCCCAAUAAUAACGACUAUUGGAAUUGAUAUCAAUAAGGAACUUAUGAUAACUAAAGUACAAAUUAACCCAUGUUUGAAAGAAGUAGACUUCAAACUAAUCCAACUGAUUAGUUUACGACAUGACACUGGCCCGGAGUAAGUGCCUAAUAAUGUACUAUAGAUCUUUCGGUAUCUUUCGUGUGCAAUAACCGAUAAAAUCAACCACGAAGACGUGAUUGUUGUGUGACCGGUAUAUCGUACAAGCUUGCAAAGAGCAUUUGAUGCCAUAGAAUGAUUUAAGCGAAUAGUGACCGUCUCGAAAGGCAUAACUACAAGACAUGUUAUCAAGUCGACAAC
rnacentral:lncRNA from 1 species